CAUUAUCAUUCAUGCAGAAUAUCUGCUUUUGUUUGCUGAAAUCAGUGUGAGUAACAGCAUGAAUUACACAUUAUUGCUUUUGCAGGAGUAUUUCCGCAUUCCUCUAUCUCAUCUGAGAUCAGUGCUCAGUGCAGCAGACAGCAUAAUCGUGAGGGAGAUUCUGCUGUACUAUAACAGGAACACAGCCACUUUGCAGGUAGACCAUCUCAUCAUUGCAUCAUUAUAUAUGAAAAACAAAAACAUUCAAGGAACAAACAAUCAAGAUAAAUGAAUUGAUGUAAUUUACAGUUUUUCUUUUCUUUUUUGAAGCUAACAGAUGAUUACCUGCACACCAUGGUGUCUGUGCUUUUCCAAAUACACCUGCCCAAGGAUAUUAGCCUGUUUUCUGACAUGGGUAUUUUGUUGGCUCUAGCUACACCUUCAGACAUCUUGUCAAUGCCGCUACAAAAUAAUAUCAAUGCGUUAAGCAUAAUUAACUUCAGCAUAAAAAACCUUUCCCUGGAGCAGCAGCAAGCGUUUGGUCGGUGGUUCAGUCAGUCCAUGAGCUUACCUAACAUGACAGCCGGCAGCUUAUCCGUUAUCAGAGACACUGGUAACCUGAUCGCCUAUCUGCCCUUUCAGAGCUUCCAGUACUUCUCACCUGCUCAGCUGCUGGAUGGUUUGGAUGUUCUGAUGAGUAACGCGUUGACUCCACUUAAGCAGCAGUUCAUUGCUCAGAGUCUCACUGGAACCUUCCGGAAUCUCACUGUUGACGAGUUCAGGAGGUUAGUUAAUGCAAUGUUAUUUUACUCCAUUAAGAUGAAAUCAAUACAGUUUCUGGAAUUAUUUUAAAUUUUUUUUAUUUGGGACAUGGAAAUGUAAAAAGGAAAAAAAAAAUUUAAAAAAAAGUUUCCUCUCACACCCCUCCAGGUUAGGUAAUCUGUCCUGUCUGGCUCACCCCAGCCAGCUAAUGGCAUAUGCAGGAACGGAAGCCUUCUCUGUGAUCAAGGACAACAUUAGGACAUGUGCAAUUCAGGGUUUUAGUGUUCCUAGCAAUAUGGUCAGUAAACAUAAUUCAGAUCAAUUGUCUCAUUUAUCCUUUAAAAAAAACUUAACAGUUGUGGUACAUAUAAAAUAGCCUCUGGUUUGUGGUUUCUUUUCUUUUUGUGUCUAGAUAUCCAGCGUGGUCUUGAAAUCGUCUGACCUGCAGUCUCCCUCCAGUCUCACUCCUCAGAGAGUCUCUGAGCUUGGCCCUUUUCUGCCCCUUCUGGGAUCCAGUGUCCUGCAGCAGCUUACCUCAGCCCAGCUCAUGCCUGCUCUCAGCACCCUCGCCUCUGUGCCUUUCACCCCUGCACAGGUACACACCAUUUUUGCCACAUCUGCAUACAUUUGCCACACAAGGCAAAUAAUUGAGCAAAAAUUACAGGCCAUAAAUAUUUCUUACCAAUCAUGAUACAAUUUUGCAUUAUUUGUUUUAAAAAUAGGGUGGCCAUAUGUGCUGUUCAUAUGGGACAUGUCCCAGCCAGGAUUUUAAUAUUGCCUAAAAUAUCCAGGUUUUGGCUGUUUGCACUGUGCAGGUCUAUCGUUGUGUGACAUUCAUGAGAGCUGUAGAGAACAGAGCAGACAGCUCCUUAUGCUUUCAAAUCGCUCUCGCACCUACUUUGGUGUCUUUGAUCGUUCCCUGUAGAUCUCACCUUCUCACGCGCAGCCCCACGAUUGGUUGAUUAUGUACCUGCAUGUUAUUGGUCAAACUGCUUUGGAUAUUUUAGGCUAUUUUAAAAUCCUGGCCAGGUUGUGUCCCAUAUGAACGGCGCAUAUGGCCACCCUAUUUAAAAAUGUAUAUCUGUUCCUAUGACAAUGAGACUUUCCCUAGGAUUUUAUGACAAACAUCACAGACAGAUCAGGCAUAGGCAAGUGUCAGUCGUAGGCAAGGCAAUUUAUUUAUAAAGCAAUAAGAAAUAAUAAAAAAUACAAUAAAAAAAAGUAAAAAGCA
ensembl:lncRNA